rnacentral:rRNA from 1 species
AUUGAACGCUGGCGGAAUGCUUUACACAUGCAAGUCGAACGGCAGCACGGGGCAACCUGGUGGCGAGUGGCGAACGGGUGAGUAAUACAUCGGAACGUGCCCAGUCGUGGGGGAUAACGUAGCGAAAGUUACGCUAAUACCGCAUACGAUCUAAGGAUGAAAGCGGGGGAUCGCAAGACCUCGCGCGAUUGGAGCGGCCGAUGUCAGAUUAGGUAGUUGGUGGGGUAAAGGCCCACCAAGCCGACGAUCUGUAGCUGGUCUGAGAGGACGACCAGCCACACUGGGACUGAGACACGGCCCAGACGCCUACGGGAGGCAGCAGUGGGGAAUUUUGGACAAUGGGCGCAAGCCUGAUCCAGCCAUUCCGCGUGCAGGAUGAAGGCCUUCGGGUUGUAAACUGCUUUUGUACGGAGCGAAAAGGCUCUCUCUAAUACAGGGGGCUCAUGACGGUACCGUAAGAAUAAGCACCGGCUAACUACGUGCCAGCCGCCGCGGUAAUAC